UUUAUUAUCCCCACACUGUUUGUUUUAGAUCGUCUUUUCAAUAAAUAUCAACCCACACACGUCGACGCACAGAGAAUCUCCCAAAACGUAUGCACGAAAGGAAACAAAGGCGACUCAGACAUGGAGAAAGCCAGAAGGUAUAUACAACUGACAGACGAUGAGUCCCAAAGCCUGUCGAGCCAGGAGGUCCCUCCUUGCUUGAUUGAUAGAGAUGGAAAGCUAGCAAACGGUGCGAUCGCAAAUAUAGUGGAUGUAGUUGGUGGUUCCGUAGUCCAAGUAGAAGGUCUCCCUUUGUGCGUCUCCGUGGACAUAUCCAUCUCAUUUCUUUCCACUGCCAACCUCCAUGUAAGCAACCAAUUCCAUCUCUCUCAUAUUGGCCUUCCACUUGGUUUUUUUUUUUUUUUUUUUUUUUUUUUUUUGUGUGCUUCUUCUUAAAUGGUGGGUUACAUAAUGCUUCCCAUAUCCAUAUGCAAUGUUAUAUACAUAUAUAUAUUGGCAAUAGAUUUAAUCGA